GGACGACCCAGCCCUCGGAGCCCUUCGCCGCCGCCGAUGUCUGAGAGGAGCCGCCGCCGUCUUCCCCACCAAGAGAUCCACCCUCUCCCCCGCCAACGCCGUCCUCCACUCACCUUCUUUCCUUGCGGGGAGGCCCCAGAUCGAGUUGAGCAAGUCAGCGGGGUGGCGGCCAGAUCCGCCACGGCCACAUCUCGUCGAGAUGGGCCGCGCUGGGAGAGGUAGAUCGAGGGGGCGGGCACCGUGUGUGUCUUCUCUCUCGGGACGCCACCCCCGACCCUAUCCAGUGAGGAGGCAGACUCUGUGUGCGUCUUCUCCGACGACGACACGCUGGACCGAGGGCCAUGCUGGAACACCCGAGCCAGCACCAUGAUGCAUGGGGUCGUUGAACACAUCUACCCCAAAGAGAGCAAGCCUGGUCUUCCAGGCCCCUUUCGGGUGAGUUCGCCAUGAACCGCUUCUUUAUAACUCGCGAAGUGCUUCUGUCAGAGCCCAUGGAUUCGGAUGUCAUUCAUUUUUAAUUGCUCCAGAGCAACUUCAGGAACAUGGUAGUCUUUCUCUUUUGCUGGUGGUUGAAUUUUAAGGAACAUUGAUGGUACUUAUUUCCCCGUUCAUGAUUGGGGACAUGUCACUAUGUCUAUGUCUGUAUGACUGUAUGCGUGAGGCUUGCUGUCUGCAUAAUGCAAUUUUCCCUAGAGUUUGAUUCAGGGCGACUGUUAGCUGUGUGAAUUCCCUGCCAUGAUCUUCUUAGAUUUUAAUCUCUUGACAUGGCAUGUGUAUUGUUAGUUUUGGGUGUGAUAUAGUGGAAAAAUGCAUGGUACGCCUUACUAACUAAUUUUUCUCUUUGCAUAUUUUUCUGACGGUGAUGGACACUCUCAGAUUCAGAUGAAGAGGGGCCAUGUCAGAUAGGAUGUAGCUGGGAAAUCCGAAUGUACUUUUUUGACAAGUAAUGCUAACAUUAGAAAUAAUUAGAAAGACAAUCAAGGACAAUGCACAAGAACAAAAUACUUAAAAAAACAUAGAUAUGACUUGGGGCAUACAAAGGUGUCCAUAUAUCUGGGUAAACCAAACCAUAUUUUAAUCGAAAAGGUGAAAGCGUACACAGCUCAAAGGAAUUCUGUCUACAUCUGAAACGAUAAACCCGAUGAAGAUCCUUCCAAGGUGCUUCAGUUGUGCCUCUUCUCACACUGAACCAGGCCAUUGGCGGAGUAGUCGAAGAAAGCAACGCUGCACUAGCAAAAACAAGAACAAGGCACUCUGCCAGCGUGUGUGCAUGAUCCAGUAGCAUGCACUUAAUAGUAGCCACCCUACUUGCCGUUCUUCAAAUGAAUGUAAAACAUCCUUCGCAAGAUUCCAGUGCAGGAAAAUCGGCCAAGACACACAACAAACUUAUUAAUCCUUUGCCGAAGAAAAUACUUAAGCACUAACACGAACAAGAUCCUUCUGAAGAUAGUCUCUGAAUGCAAAUGAUCGUGACUUUUGAAUUUGGAGCCAUGGCCCAUGUGUAGGCAAGGGCAAUGAUCCCUUUUACUACUUGAGCGGUCCAACAGAGAUUAUUGAAGGUUGUUUUCUGAAGUUGUGAUUGACUGGAACCAAAGGAAAGUUGGAGAUUAUUUUUUGGUGUGAAUUGCUUGGAUUAAGUGGGAGUGAAGAUGUUCUUUCCAUCUAUAUCCGGUUCUGUUAUUGGCAAAUUUGUGCCUUCGAGAUUGCUGCUCGUGUUUGUGUUCUCAAGCUGAAAUUAUUACCCUGUUUGGUCUCCUGAAUAUAAACCAUGAUUCUUUGCAUCUCAACUGCAGACCAGCAGACCUUUCCGUCCUCAUAUUCGUCGAAUUCGUUUUCUGCGAGCGAGCGCCCGAGCGGUUGCAUCUCGAUGGCUGGUGCACGCUCCAUUUCAGUAGUUAUACUUAAGUCCAGAAGUUUUUCAGGUUCUCUAACUUUUUUGAGUGGUUUGUCCAGUUCCCUUUACAACCGAGCUGGCUUUAUACUAUGAGCGGUGAGCAAGUCAUGUAUAGAGCAAAAACAAAAUAUUGGUCUACUAUCAGAUGGCACAUUUAUUUGAACACAAAUGCAAGAAAGGUUCAGGGUCUCAUGAAGAGGGCAUCCGUUUGUGUUAGGUGAGAUCUGAAUUGUUGAUUUUGCUAUCAGAUGGCGGCGGUCUCAACGUUGUUCCUCUGUUGGGAGCAUCAUGUACGGAGACAUGACAUAGAGGUCCUGUGGUGCAAUCCUUUGGUGCUCAUUGCUACCCCAGGUUGAUCAUCAAGGGAUCUAUGUACGCCGUCGCUCAUGCGUCCGAGAUGGUGCCUCCUCGAGUCUGUCCGGUGUCACUUGAAACGCGACUUUGUCUUUCAGUUUAGGGUAGGCAUCUUGUGUUGUGGGUGUAAUGUGUGUGGUGACAUGUCUUCGGACUGCUAUGGUGUGGAGUUUGUGCUACGCUUGUAGUUCGUAACAAGGGUAGUCUUCUUGUAAUCUGCUUCUUCCUUCUAUAGAAAUAUGGUAUGCCUAGGUGUACUCUUGAAAAGAAAGAUGUCUUAAGCAAAAAAAUUAGAUCGAGAUGGGUGAAAAGGGAUUUAAAAGUAUACGUGUGAUACUAUUGUUGUUGAACUACUAAAUAUAUGUAUGCCCUUGCUGCCACCGACAAGGAUUCUCUUGAUU
rnacentral:rRNA from 1 species